rnacentral:sRNA from 1 species
GUGCCAACGCUCAUCUACAAUCCUUAUUUUCGUCGUACAAGCACACACAAUUAUAUCUUCAGACUUUUACAGCCGUUGAACUAAUCUUGGUACGACUUACAUUAAAAGCUGUAAAGAGAAAGGCACUUCCUUCUUUGGACUAAAAUGAUGAUCCUUUCACCUGAGGUGCUAACAGAUAAGAGAAUGCUUCGCAUCAUGACCUUAUGGCUGUAAGCUCCCUUCCACGAUACCCACUUAUUCUUUCUCCCAGCUCCAGCAUAAAAAAAACUGCCCGCCGGAUCGCAUUCUCAUACCAUCGCUCGGCUUGUACCAGCCAUAGAAUCCUCUUGGAUUGGCGUAUAAUUGGGUCAUUGCGUUUCUUCAUGCUCCUCCGGAAUCCCCGUAGUGAAUCGUCGAGACUGUUCGCUGGAUCUACCAACUUGAGUACUGACCUAAUGACUGAAUGACUUACCGUUUAGUUGGUCCACAAUGACUUUGGCAAGUUCCACGGCAUCUAUGAUCCCAGCACUAGCGCCGGCCCCGCAGAAUGGCGGCAUCCCAUGAGCUGCAUCACCCACUAGGACCACUCUCCCUUUACCCCCUACCGUGCUUGUAGCACUCCAUAACGGGCUCUAGCUUGAUUUCUUCACCCUUUAUUCUAGCCUGGAAUGAAGGAUUGAGCCAUUGGGAUGGGAUGUUUAUCCUCAACCAACUGGGAACCUGAGUACAGACGAUGCCGAAUGGCAGAGAACAUCCCGUCGGCACCUUUAUCAUGUCUUAUCGCCUCUUCCUUUCCCCCUUUCAAACAAACUUCGAUCUCUCUUUCCAUUCGAGGCUCACCUACAACCGCCUCGAAACCCCAUUCCACCUCUCCUGCUCCUUCUUUCAAAAUACUCAUCAAGUCGGCUCUCUCCACCAUCCCCCAUCCUCGGACAUCGCGAACCAUCCGAUAAACCCUUUUACCGCUGUAUGAGAGCACUGUCAAGCCGUCGUGUAGGAUAGGGAUCUUUUGUCGAAGAACAAGGAGUUUAGUGCUGUGCGAAGCGAUGAGCAGGUCGUCUAGGGCUUUACGUGCGACCUAUUAUGUUGUGUACGUUUCCAAUGGAAUCCCAUUCUCCCUCCCCAUGUUUCCUCUUCACGCAUCUCAUCUCAUCAGCUAUCCACCAGCCAGCCAACGUACCUAAAGAAGACUUACGACUCCUCUUUUCGACAAGUCUUACUACCAAUUUUCCUUCCUGGUAUGUCUGACUUUGGCGAAGAGCAUAUGCCGCUGUCAAGCCUGCCACUCCCGCACCGAUGAUUAGUACUUCGAAAGGCCUAUCUCCUUUUUCGGGAGUGGACGUCGAAGGGUGACUAUUCAUCAUGGUUGUUUCGCCAGAAACGUGUCUGAAUAAUUGGCAAAAUGUAUCUUUCCAUUCGAUUUGAUUAGGUGGGAAGUGGAAAGGAGGAUAAAGGAGGUUGCCAUAUUAUGGUAGACUGACAGGUCAUCAAUCUCAUUGACGUGAAUCAACUACAAGUCUUGCACCCUUCUUCCCACAUUCCCCAUCACGCUCAUAAUCUCCAACAACUAUCCAUUCAUACCUUCCAGCUUUGUGACGGUCACCGUUUUCCCAGGAUUUCUCAAAUCAUUCAAGUUCUCGAGGAUCGAAUUGACAUCUUUUAAAUCACUUCUCUUAUAGCGUCCCUGAGCCCGUGCCACAGACACUCUGGGAUUUUUUUUUUCGAUUUUAUCUUUUGUCUUUUAAAUCAGCUUGCUCCCCGAAGCCAAGAGCUGCCUAUAAAACGACUCGCUCUCAACAAUACCCCCGCGAGCUGGGUUGCGGAAAAGGUUCCGCCAAAGUGGUGGGAUCGUAUCCCUUUGCGAGUCUAUCGGGAUCAGGGACAAUCAAUCCGAAGGAACAGUGAUCCAAUGCGGAGAUAGUCAUUGAUUGGUCUGGCUCAUAUCUUAUUCUAUUUAAUUGCUGACCGUAAUUAUAACUGUACGAGUAAUUGCGUCUUUGCUUGCUGUCCACAGAUUAUCAUAUGUACCAUCGCCCGCACUACGA